rnacentral:lncRNA from 1 species
AUGGGGCUGCGGGCGAAAUUUUCCGAGCCUCCUCGCCUGCGGCGCCCCCUCCUCAGCUCCCUGAGCGCUCCCCUCCCCCGGGGCCCGCACACCCAGCCGAGGGAUGCAGGGUGCGCGGGGAUAUGCGAGGAUGCGCGGCGCUGCAGGCGCGGCCCAGGGCCCCUCGGGGGUCGCGUCACCGAGGAAGCGAAGCCGGGAGCUGGAUGGUCAAUGCCUUCCGCCCUGGGGGUAACAGUCCCCCUUCUCCAGCCCAGACCUCCCCAAAGCGCGCGCGGACCUCCCAAAGGAGCCGGGGGUGGGGUCCCCAAGCACCCCGCGCUCUCACCGCUUCUCCUCUGCUCUGCCUUCUUCUCCGGCUCAAGCUCCAGCCCGGUCGCCUCCUGGGCUCCCCCCGGAGUGGGAGGGAGCCUCGGUCCCGCCUCCGCGCCCUUUCUCUCCCAGGCCGCGCACCAGGGCGCUGGGCUUUCGGCGUGCGGACCUACUACCCUGCCGACCGACGGACGCGUGUGCCUGCUGCCGGACGCCGGAAUCCCGCGGCAGGGCUCUGGCUUUCAGCAGAUUCUUCUCCACGGAGGUUGUGACCCCAAAGAUUCAGAGUUGAUGCUGUAACACCCUUAUGUUACAGACAAGGAUCUGAGGAUUCCGGGAUGGAGAAGAAACUGGCUCAAAGUUACAUGGAAAUUUAGCAGCAAGUUGGAAAGAACCCAUGACUCCAGACUGUAUAAUGCUAUUUAAGGUCUGACUAAAUGUCACCUCCUGCAGGAAGCCUUCCCUGAACUUGUCCCAUCUUCCUCUGUGUUCCUUUGCACAUACCUUGAUGUGACACCCUAUAUCACAAUGAGCCACUUCAAUGGAAUUUGUCCCUGCUAGAAUGAGCCAUCCAUGAGAUCGGAGACUGUGUCUUACUCAUCUUUGUGUGGUGUGGCUGGUGUUUAUUACUUAAUCGCUAUCGUUUAUUGAGUGCCUAUUAUGUGCCAAGGCACUUUUGUAAUGCUCAUUCCAUUUCACAGUUGUCCCACAAGGUAGGUAAUAUUGUCCUCAUUUCACAUAUGGAAAAAAAUCUCCUGGAGCUCAGAGGUUUGCCCAAGUUCCCACAGAGAGUGAGUGGUAGUGCUGAGAUUUGAAUCCCAAACCCUUUUGCACCUCCCACUUCACCAGUGGUGUUUUUUCAGUCGUUAAUGAGUAGCAUCCCGCUGAGGAUCUGGAGCAGCAGGGCCCUAAUGGCCCCCUCUCCACUGGGCUCUGGAGCAUCUGGAAGUACAAAGCCCUGCUCCCAGGGCUUCCUGGGAGAAAAGGAUUCUAAGGAGGUGAAAGGAAUCUUUGAGGAGCUCACAAACCCCUGGGGAGAUGGCUCAGACACCAGUAGAGAAGCCAGUAGAACAAAAGCAAUCCAUCAUGAACUCUUUAAAAUUUACUGUAUGCCUGCAUGACAUGCCUAGCAGAGGAAUCCCAGGAUUUUCUCUUCUGUGUGUUUCUGUCUUGCUUCCUUGCGGCCAUAAUACCAGCUGAGGUCGUCAGUACAAUUACUUCCAACUGAUGAGAUGGGAGAAGACAAUUCUGCUACUUUUCUAGAUCUUUGAGUUACACAUCCAACCUGGGUCUGACUAUG